rnacentral:rRNA from 1 species
GAGUGGAUAAUGGCUCAGAAUCGACGCUGGGGGCGUGCCUCAGACUUGCAAGUCGAACGAUUAAAGUCCUCUUCGGAGGGUGUAUAAAGUGGCGCACGGGUGAGUAACACGUAAGUAAUCUACCCUCGGGUGGGGAAUAACAACCGGAAACGGUUGCUAAUACCGCAUAAUGCAGCGGCUCCUUAUGGAGACAGUUGUUAAAGGAUUUAUUCGCCUGAGGAGGAGCUUGCGGCAAAUUAGCUAGUUGGUAAGGUAAUGGCUUACCAAGGCGACGAUCUGUAGCCGGUCUAAGAGGACGGUCGGUCACACUGACACUGAAUAACGGGUCAGACUCCUACGGGAGGCAGCAGUCGGGAAUUUUGGGCAAUGGGCGAAAGCCUGACCCAGCAACGCCGCGUGAAGGAUGAAGUAUUUCGGUAUGUAAACUUCGAAAGAAUAGGAAGAAUUAAUGACGGUACUAUUUAUAAGGUCCGGCUAACUACGUGCCAGCAGCCGCGGUAAUACGUAGGGACCAAGCGUUGUUCGGAUUUACUGGGCGUAAAGGGCGCGUAGGCGGCAUGACAAGUCACUUGUGAAAUCUCUGGGCUUAACUCAGAACGGCCAAGUGAUACUGUCGCGCUAGAGUGCAGAAAGGGCAAUCGGAAUUCUUGGCGUAGCGCUGGAAUGCUUAGAUAUCAAGAUGAAACACUGACGCGAACGCGGGUUGCUAGGUGACACUGACCGCUGAGGUACGG